CCUACGGGGCGCAGCAGUGAGGAAUAUUGGUCAAUGGGCGAGAGCCUGAACCAGCCAAGUCGCGUGAGGGAAGACGGUCCUAUGGAUUGUAAACCUCUUUUGUCAGGGAGCAACGCCGGCUACGUGUAGCCGGACUGAGAGUACCUGAAGAAAAAGCAUCGGCUAACUCCGUGCCAGCAGACGCGGUAAUACGGAGGAUGCGAGCGUUAUCCGGAUUUAUUGGGGUUAAAGGGUGCGUAGGCGGAAUGCCAAGUCAGCGGUAAAAUCGCGGGGCUCAACCUCGCUCCGCCGUUGAAACUGGCGGU
rnacentral:rRNA from 1 species